AUCAGGUAGGGAUACCCGCUGAACUUAAGCAUAUCAAUAAGCGGAGGAAAAGAAACCAACAGGGAUUGCCCUAGUAACGGCGAGUGAAGCGGCAACAGCUCAAAUUUGAAAGCUGGCCUUCGGGUCCGCAUUGUAAUUUGUAGAGGAUGCUUUGGGUGAAACGCCAGUCUAAGUUCCUUGGAACAGGACGUCAUAGAGGGUGAGAAUCCCGUAUGUGACUGGAAAUGUUAACCUAUGUAAAGCUCCUUCGACGAGUCGAGUUGUUUGGGAAUGCAGCUCUAAAUGGGAGGUAAAUUUCUUCUAAAGCUAAAUAUUGGCGAGAGACCGAUAGCGCACAAGUAGAGUGAUCGAAAGAUGAAAAGCACUUUGGAAAGAGAGUUAAAAAGCACGUGAAAUUGUUGAAAGGGAAGCGCUUGCAAUCAGACUUGUUUAAACUGUUCGGCCGGUCUUCUGACCGGUUUACUCAGUUUGGACAGGCCAGCAUCAGUUUCGGCGGCCGGAUAAAGGCUCUGGGAAUGUGGCCUUCACUUCGGUGAAGGUGUUAUAGCCCAGGGUGUAAUACGGCCAGCCGGGACUGAGGUCCGCGCUUCGGCUAGGAUGCUGGCGUAAUGGUUGUAAGCGACCCGUCUUGAAACACGGACCAAGGAGUCUA
rnacentral:rRNA from 1 species